AAAAGAAGUCAAGACUUCUGCGGAAAGCAGGGCCCUGCGCCUGCGCUGCGCGGCGGUGACGACAAUUGUCCGCGCCCGAAGCCGAGCGUUUUCCGCGCCGGGUGGCGGGCGCCUGCGCAGUGGCUCCGAGCGGGCGGUUGCUUGUUGGUUGUUGUAGUAACGGGGGAAGCAGCGGUCGGCGGCCGCCUUGAGCCGGGCUGGGGAAGGAGGAGGGAGGUAGGCGCAGAGCGCUGUCCCCGCCUGCCUGCCCCGAGCCAUGGGCAGAUGAACCAGGAAUCUGUGCCACCCAAAUUGUAUGAUCCAGUGAAUCUGCAAGGAAAGGUCUCUGAGGCCCCCGUCUGCUGACUGCAUGACAAACUCUAAAGGAAAUGCCAGUCGUGAUGGCCCGGGACCUGGAGGAAACAGCAGCAUCCUCAGAGGAUGAGGAGGCGGUAAGCCAAGAAGAUCAUCCAUGUAUCAUGUGGACUGGAGGCUGCAGGAGAAUUCCAGUUUUGGUAUUCCAUGCUGAGGCUAUUCUGACAAAGGACAACAAUGUUCGAGUAAUUGGAGAACGUUAUCACUUGUCUUACAAGAUCGUACGAACAGACAGUCGCCUGGUUCGCAGCAUCCUGACAGCCCAUGGAUUUCAUGAAGUUCACCCAAGCAGCACUGACUAUAACCUAAUGUGGACAGGAUCCCACCUGAAGCCCUUUUUACUUCGCACCCUCUCUGAAGCACAAAAGGUUAAUCACUUUCCCAGGUCGUAUGAACUAACCCGGAAGGACCGACUGUACAAAAACAUCAUUCGAAUGCAGCAUACGCACGGAUUCAAGGCUUUUCACAUCCUCCCUCAGACCUUCCUGCUGCCAGCUGAGUAUGCGGAAUUCUGUAAUUCAUAUUCAAAGGACCGGGGACCUUGGAUAGUAAAACCAGUGGCCUCUUCCAGGGGGCGGGGUGUCUACCUGAUCAACAAUCCAAACCAGAUUUCCCUGGAAGAGAACAUCUUGGUCUCCCGUUACAUUAACAACCCCCUGCUCAUAGAUGAUUUCAAGUUUGACGUGCGCCUCUAUGUGCUUGUGACUUCCUAUGAUCCUCUUGUCAUCUAUCUCUAUGAAGAAGGACUGGCUAGGUUUGCCACCGUACGAUAUGACCAAGGAACCAAGAAUAUUCGGAACCAGUUCAUGCACCUGACCAAUUACAGUGUGAAUAAGAAGAGUGGAGACUAUGUCAGUUGUGAUGAUCCGGAAGUGGAGGAUUAUGGGAACAAAUGGAGCAUGAGUGCUAUGCUUAGGUAUCUGAAACAGGAAGGCAAAGAUACAACUGCAUUGAUGGCCCAUGUAGAAGACCUGAUCAUUAAGACUAUAAUCUCUGCUGAACUAGCUAUUGCCACAGCCUGUAAAACUUUUGUUCCUCAUCGCAGCAGUUGUUUUGAACUCUAUGGCUUUGACGUGCUCAUAGAUUCUACUCUGAAGCCAUGGUUGUUGGAAGUGAAUCUCUCUCCCUCUUUGGCCUGUGAUGCACCUCUGGACCUAAAGAUUAAAGCCAGUAUGAUUUCAGAUAUGUUCACUGUUGUAGGGUUUGUAUGUCAAGAUCCUGCCCAGCGGGCAUCAACCCGGCCAAUUUAUCCCACCUUUGAGUCUUCCAGGCGAAACCCUUUCCAGAAACCUCAGCGUCCAGUAUCUGCACAGUUUCAGUCAUCAAGCACCAAACAGCGUUGCCGUCCACUCUCUGCCAGUGACGCAGAAAUGAAAAACCUUGUGGGCUCAGCACGGGAGAAGGUGCCGGGGAAGUUAGGUGGUUCUGUGCUUGGUCUGUCAAUGGAGGAGAUCAAAGUUUUACGGAGGGUGAAGGAAGAGAAUGAUCGGAGAGGUGGAUUUAUUCGCAUAUUCCCUACAUCAGAGACAUGGGAAAUAUAUGGGUCCUACCUUGAACACAAGACCUCCAUGAACUAUAUGCUGGCGACACGUCUCUUCCAGGACAGGGGAAACCCAAGAAGAAGCUUAUUGACAGGAAGAACACGAGUUGCGGUUGAUGGAGCACCAGAAUUGAAGGUAGAGAAUAUGAAUUUAAGGGCCAAGUUGCACGCUGCUCUUUAUGAGAGGAAGCUCCUGUCUCUGGAGGUGCGAAAACGUCGACGACGGAGUGGCAGAUUGAGGGCAAUGCGGCCAAAAUACCCAGUGAUUACCCAACCAGCUGAAAUGAAUGUUAAAACUGAGACAGAGAGCGAAGAGGAGGAAGAAGUUGCCUUAGACAGUGAAGAUGAAGAACAGGAAGCUUCCCAGGAGGAGUCUGCAGGGUCCCUCGGAGAAAAUCGAGCCAAACACACACCCUCACUGACCGUUAUGGUAGAAAAUUCACCCAAAGAAAAUGCCGUGAAAGUUCCUGAAUGGAAUGACAAAGGUGAACAUUGCUGCAAGACCGAGACUCAGGAACCAGAGCCUAAAUUUAACCUGAUGCAGAUUCUGCAAGAUAAUGGCAAUCUUAGCAAAGUGCAGGCCCGAAUAGCAUUCUCUGCCUAUCUCCAGCAUGUUCAAAUCCGACUGAUGAAAGACAGUGGAGGUCAAACGUUCAGUGCCAGUUGGGCUGCCAAAGAAGAUGAACAGAUGGAGCUAGUGGUUCGUUUCCUCAAGCGAGCAUCAAGUAACCUCCAGCACUCACUGAGGAUGGUAUUACCCAGUCGGAGACUGGCACUUCUGGAGCGCAGAAGAAUCCUGGCCCACCACCUGGGUGACUUUAUCAUUGUGUACAACAAGGAAACAGAACAAAUGGCUGGAAAGAAGUCGAAGAAGAAACUUGAGGAAGAAGAGGAAGAUGGGGUGAAUACGGAAAACUUUCAGGAGUUCAUCAGACAAGCAAGUGAGGCUGAACUGGAGGAGGUGUUGACUUUUUAUACCCAAAAAAACAAGUCUGCAAGUGUCUUCCUGGGGACUCACUCAAAAAGUUCUAAAAACAGCAACAGUUUUUCUGAUAGCGGGGCAAAGGGUGAUCACCCUGAAACGAUGGAAGAAGUGAAAAUAAAGCAGCCCAAGCAGCAACAAGCAACAGAAAUUCACUCUGAUAAAUUAUCUCGAUUUACCACUUCAGCAGAAAAAGAGGCUAAAUUAGUCUAUACCAGUUCUUCCUCUACUUCUUUCUCUGGUCCUACUGCUACUCUUCUGCAGAAAAUUCCCAACACCCAUUUGUCAUCUGUUAUUACCACCUCUGACCUCUCACCAGGGCCAGGCCACCAUUCUUUAUCUCAGAUUCCUCCAGCUAUCCGCAGCAUGGCUCACCAGCCAGCAAUUUUACUGAGCACGGUCCCUGGCAGUGCUUCUCCGUCCAUCCAUCCUGGGACACAGAACGUACUGAGCCCCGCUGGCCUGCCGCGCUGUCGAUCAGGCAGUUACACCAUUGGCCCCUUUUCCUCUUUCCAAGGUGCUGCGCACAUCUAUAGCCAGAAACUGUCUCGUCCCUCUUCAGCAAAGGCAGCAGGUUCAUGCCAUCCAAACAAGCAGCAUUCAGGAGUAGCCAAAACACAGAAGGAGGGAGAAGAUGGUUCCUCAUACAGCAGACGGUACAACCCAAGUACGGUUACGGCUGAACUUCAGCGGCUAGCUGAGAAGCAGGCAGCAAGGCAGUAUUCUCCAUCCACUCACGUCAGUCUCCUCACCCAGCAGGUAACACACCUGAAUUUGGCAAGUGGCGUCAUAAACGGAGGCAGUGCUUCGACUCCCCACACACUUUGGCCUGUCAUCAGUCCUAGUGGCCCAACAUGGUCAAUACAGUCAGACCCCCAAGCUCCUGAGAGCCACUCCGCCCCUCCUGGAAGCAGGAGCCUCCAAACAGGUGGCUUUGCCUGGGAGGGAGAGGUAAAGAACAGCGCGUAUAGCAAGGCCACAGGGGUGGUCCCGCAGCACAGGUGCCACUCCACAGUAGGCAGCUACCAACUCCAUUUUGCCCUGCAACAACUUGAACAGCAAAAACUUCAGUCCCGGCAGCUUCUGGACCAGAGUCGAGCCCGGCACCAGGCGAUCUUUGGCAGCCAGACACUACCUAACUCCAAUUUAUGGACAAUAAAUAACGGUGCAGCUUGCAGAAUUUCAAGCGCCACAGCUAGUGGCCAGAAGCCAACCACUCUGCCACAAAAAGUGGUGCCAGCUCCAAGCUCUUCCUCUUCCUUGGUCCCCAAACCCCCGUCCAAUCACAAACAAGUCCUCAGAAAGGCAGCAUCCCAGAGGGCUUCCAAAGCGUCCUCCACAGAAGGGCAGCUGGACGGACUCCAGAGCAGCCUUAACUCUGCAGCCUUUGUGCCCAUCACCAGCUCCACAGAUCCCGCUCACACUAAAAGAUGAAGCACAGACACGCGGAGGAGGAGCCUAUCCACUACUCCACUACUCCUGGUGAUUCUCAGAACCAGCAAGAAAGAGAAAUGUUCCAAAAGGGAACCCCCAUCUCAGCCAUCUGCCUGGAGCUGAAGGUUGUGGGCCAGGCCUCAAGGAUAUCCCCAUUGGGCUGAAAGGUGUGACAUGGACAAUGAAUGCUGAUUUCCAGACCUAAGUUGGAUUCUGCAAAAUAAGACACAGCAAUGGUGAGAAAAGCAGUUUGUGUGAUGAAGAAGGGUACCCACCAGUCACACACAGAAGAGCCAGGGCUUCUGCCGCCACAGGCAGUCAUAGGAACUGAGUUAGACUGAGGCUCACAGGUGACAGAAAGUGCUUCCAAGGCGAUAGCAGACCUUCACGCUCAUGCUGCCACAUUCCACAAAUUUCUGUCAUGUUACAAACAACCAAAUGGAGGCAUAAACUAGUGGGCACCAUGAAGGAGAAUUUUCAUAGUCAUCUAUUUUCAAAGAAUGGUUUAGGAAAAAAAAAAAUGUCACCAGCCUACUAGGGGGCAAAAGGAUGAGGGUACAGGAAAGGAGAAAACCAGUCACACCCCAUACAUGUCGGUUGAGAGAGGAGAUAUUCUAGCUGUGAAAGGACGGAGGAGAGAGGCAGAGUGCCUGGAAGAGACCAGGGAAAGGGGAAAACUAAAGAACUGUGGGGUAGAGAGGCUGUGAUUCAAAAGGCCACAAGAUGGGAGGAAGGGGCACAGGCUGAGCUCUAGGAUUAAAAUUCAGAAAGCAAGGCUAGAGCAAGGUCUCCAGCAAGCAAGCAGCAGAAUCGGUAAGGUGGAAGAGGCCACCAUUUCUACCAGGGCUACAACUGUAGACAGACAGAGAGAGGUAGAUUCCAGAGGAGAUAAGAUGCAAAUCUCAGUUAUGCUUGGCUAUAUUUUCCUUCAGGAACAAGGACAUGAUGAGGUCAAGAUUACUUAGAGUUUCUUCUUUGGCAAUCCUUGUUCACCUUAACGGGGGAGUUGUAAAUGUAUCCAGCGGGGCUGUGGAUGGCUCACUGAGGACAGCCACUGGCUCAGGAAGACGGUUGUGAAAUUAGAGAACAGGCAGGAAGAGAAGGCAGAGGGCCAUGGCCGAGGGCCCAGAUGGCAUGAGCUCGGAGAAAACAAGUGUGAGGAAGCCUGGAGGCACCAGGGUUUGGUGGCUGAUGUUGUGGGGGCAAAAAGGCCAGCUCUGGCCCUUUCUCCUAUUGGCUGUGGGAUCGGGUAUUUUGGUAACUAAAAUUGGGAAAGCAAGGAAACUAGUUAAAGGGGUUGCAUAAAGUGGAAGGAAAAAAAGGAGGAAUAAGGAAUGAAAAAUUUGAACUGAAUCCAGUAGUUUUGUGCAGGGAAACCAGGUAGUCUGGUAUCAUGUCCGUCCUGGUGGGUAAGACUCAAUCGGGGAAGCUCUCUUGAUCCGGGGCAGCAGCCAGCUAUGGUCAGGUAUGGGAGAGGUCGUGGGGGUAUGACCUCUGAAGUCAGGGUCAGCGCCUCAGGGAUCUGAUUGAUGCCCUGCUCUUGGAGGUCACCCUAGUUCUGUGUGAGCAUCCAGCCUUGGGGCCAACCUGGGGUCUUCCAGAAAUCUGAUGUCAGCAGGGAAAACCCCAGAGUCCAGGCCUCCUCAGCACCCUUCUCAUGCGCAGAAUGGCCCAAGCCCAGAGAUUCCAGUCAGCAAAAGGCAGACCUGGAUGUCCCAGUUCUACUAGUUAAAAACCAGCCCAAUCCCUUCUCCCAUAAACUCUAGAUCCCAGCUUCGUUUGUUCUCCCCCAGUCAGGGCAGCCUCUGGGACACACUGACACCUGCUGAGCUUGAAGAUUUCUGUCCCAGGUUAGCUUUGGUGGGCUGGGGAGGGGCCAAUAUAACAAGGAAGCUGAGCCCCAGAGGGAGAACAAGAAGUGAAUAGAGAGGGAUGUAUAAGGAGUGUCCUCUUUCUGGUUUAAGGUGGCUGAAAGAAGGAGCUAGAGUAGCUGAAACAGGCUACAUAAAACAUAGUACACUUCCUAUUACCCAGAAAGGUUUAAGUAGUCCGGGAGAGACCUAGAGUGGACAAGUCCUAUGAGUCUGUGAGUUAGAAAGUCAAGACGCAGACAGAUGUGUUGGGGAGAGUUAGGGUUAGGGUGCAGGUAGUGUGUGUGUGAUGGUGCCUGGCUUGGCCAGCAGGCUCUGUCUAGGUAGAGGGCUCAGAGAAUGAUGACGAUAACCACCAACAUUUGUUGAGUGUUGCUACAUGUCACGCACCGCUCUAAGACUAUGUGUGCAUUAAGUCAUUUACGUAAUCUCCAUACUAAUCCUACAAAGCAGGAGCUAUUAUUACCCCCUCCCCGCAUUAUACAGAUGAGGACACUGAGACUUAGGGAAAUUAAAUGGCUUGACCGAGGUAUCCAACCAGUAAGUGGUAGAACCAAGAUUCAAACACGGGCAGCCUGAUAUCAGAGCCACGCUCCUAAUUGUUAGAGACAAAGAGGGACCAAAGAGAGCCCAGCCGGGACCAUCAAGGUAGAUGCCCACACAGUCACUGAGAUACAAAACGCCUGUGUAUUCCCAGUGUGCCCCCUGUCCUGAGCCAUGGCGCUGGGCGUGUUCCCUGCCCGGCCUGCUUGGGGAGGCCAGGCUCUGCACACAGGGGAGCCACAGAUUGUGUGGAACAAUAGCACAGGGGUGUGAAGACCUGGGCCCACAGCCCUGGAGAGGGCUCCAGCCGGCUCUGGGCCCAGAAAGCAGCCUGGGAACCGGUGCACAGUAGGCUCUUAGAUGUUUGCUGAACUAAUACAAGACCGUAUAUGUGACUCAGUUUCCUCACAGUCCACACCGCCAACUGCUCCAUUUGGAGUCCAUUUACUGCCUUGUUUGGGGCCAAGAACCCUCAAGAGACUCAGGAGCUCUGCAGAAGUAAAGGUCUGUGUAUGACUCCCCCGUGCGAGGGGUGGGCAGCGUCGGCCAGAGCGGGAACUGAAGGUUCCAGUGAAGAGCUAACCUCAGAAUUGGCAGCGGUGG